GCAUUGGUGGUUCAGUGGUAAAAAUCUCACCUGGCAAGUGGGAGACAUGGGUUGGAUUCCCAGCCAAUGUA
rnacentral:tRNA from 1 species